UACGUAGGGUGCGAGCGUUUAAUCGGAAUUACUGGGCGUAAAGCGUGCGCAGGCGGUUUUGUAAGCCAGAUGUGAAAGCCCCGGGCUUAACCCUGGGAAUGGCAUUUGUGACUGCCCGGCUAGAGUGUGUCAGAGGGGGGUAGAAUUCCACGUGUAGCAGUGAAAUGCGUAGAGAUGUGGAGGAAUACCGAUGGCGAAGGCAGCCCCCUGGGAUAACG
rnacentral:rRNA from 1 species